GUCGAGCGAACCGAUUAAGAGCUUGCUCUUAAGAAGUUAGCGGCGGACGGGUGAGUAACACGUGGGUAACCUGCCUAUAAGACUGGGAUAACUCCGGGAAACCGGGGCUAAUACCGGAUAACAUUUUGCACCGCAUGGUGCGAAAUUGAAAGGCGGCUUCGGCUGUCACUUAUAGAUGGACCUGCGUCGCAUUAGCUAGUUGGUGAGGUAACGGCUCACCAAGGCGACGAUGCGUAGCCGACCUGAGAGGGUGAUCGGCCACACUGGGACUGAGACACGGCCCAGACUCCUACGGGAGGCAGCAGUAGGGAAUCUUCCGCAAUGGACGAAAGUCUGACGGAGCAACGCCGCGUGAGCGAUGAAGGCCUUCGGGUCGUAAAGCUCUGUUGUUAGGGAAGAACAAGUGCUAGUUGAAUAAGCUGGCACCUUGACGGUACCUAACCAGAAAGCCACGGCUAACUACGUGCCAGCAGCCGCGGUAAUACGUAGGUGGCAAGCGUUAUCCGGAAUUAUUGGGCGUAAAGCGCGCGCAGGUGGUUUCUUAAGUCUGAUGUGAAAGCCCACGGCUCAACCGUGGAGGGUCAUUGGAAACUGGGAGACUUGAGUGCAGAAGAGGAAAGUGGAAUUCCAUGUGUAGCGGUGAAAUGCGUAGAGAUAUGGAGGAACACCAGUGGCGAAGGCGACUUUCUGGUCUGUAACUGACACUGAGGCGCGAA
rnacentral:rRNA from 1 species